CAGUAGCCGCGGGAAUACAGAGGGUGCAAGCGUUAAUCGGAAUUACUGGGCGUAAAGCGCGCGUAGGUGGUUCGCCAAGUUGGAUGUGAAAUCCCCGGGCUCAACCUGGGAACUGCAUCCAAAACUGGCGAGCUAGAGUAUGGUAGAGGGUGGUGGAAUUUCCUGUGUAGCGGUGAAAUGCGUAGAUAUAGGAAGGAACAUCAGUGGCGAAGGCGACCACCUGGACUGAUACUGACACUGAGGUGCGAAAGCGUGGGGAGCAAACAGGAUUAGAUACCCCGGUAGUCACUGUCUCUUAUAA
rnacentral:rRNA from 1 species